rnacentral:rRNA from 1 species
GAGGUGGGGAAAACCGUUGGAAACGACGGCUAAUACCGAAUGCGGCGCCGGGAGGCAUCUUCCGAGCGCUAAAGGGGGCCGCAAGGCUCCCCCUCUUCGAGGGGCUCGCGCACCAUCAGCUUGUUGGCGGGGUAACGGCCCACCAAGGCUCACGGUUAGCUGGUCUGAGAGGAUGGCCAGCCGCACUGGGACUGAGAUACUGCCCAGACUCCUACGGGAGGCUGCAGUCGAGGAUCAUUCGCAAUGGGGGAAACCCUGACGAUGCGACGCUGCGUGGAGGAUGAAGGCCCUCGGGUCGUAAACUCCUGUCAUGAGGGAAAAGGCGAGGGGACCCAACACGUCCCUUAGUUGAUGGUACCUCAAGAGGAACGGGCGGCUAACUCUGUGCCAGCCGCCGC